rnacentral:rRNA from 1 species
AGUGAACGCUGGCGGUAGGCCUAACACAUGCAAGUCGAACGGCAGCACAGUAAGAGCUUGCUCUUACGGGUGGCGAGUGGCGGACGGGUGAGGAAUACAUCGGAAUCUACUUUUUCGUGGGGGAUAACGUAGGGAAACUUACGCUAAUACCGCAUACGACCUUCGGGUGAAAGCAGGGGAUCUUCGGACCUUGCGCGAAUGAAUGAGCCGAUGUCGGAUUAGCUAGUUGGCGGGGUAAAGGCCCACCAAGGCGACGAUCCGUAGCUGGUCUGAGAGGAUGGUCGGCCACACUGGAACUGAGACGCGGUCCAGACUCCUACGGGAGGCAGCAGUGGGGAAUAUUGGACAAUGGGCGCAAGCCUGAUCCAGCCAUACCGCGUGGGUGAAGAAGGCCUUCGGGUUGUAAAGCCCUUUUGUGGGGAAAGAAAAGCAGCAGGUUAAUACCCCGCUGUUCUGACGGUACCCAAUGAAUAAGCACCGGCUAACUUCGUG